rnacentral:rRNA from 1 species
UACGUAGGGUGCGAGCGUUAAUCGGAAUUACUGGGCGUAAAGCGUGCGCAGGCGGUUAUUUAAGUCAGGUGUGAAAGCCCUGGGCUUAACCUAGGAAUUGCGCUUGAGACUGGAUAGCUUGGAGUGCGGCAGAGGGGGAUGGAAUUCCGCGUGUAGCAGUGAAAUGCGUAGAUAUGCGGAGGAACACCGAUGGCGAAGGCAAUCCCCUGGGCCUGCACUGACGCUCAUGCACGAAAGCGUGGGGAGCAAACAGG